GCCUUGCAGUUCUCCCGAACGUGCGUUCGGCUGUGUAGAAAGAGAGGAUGGAGAGAGGAGGGAAAAGCACAACGAGUACUCUCACACAGACCUGUGAAUGCAGAGUCUGAACUGGGCUGUUGGACACGAGCCAGUGCCAGCACAAAGAACUCUGUCACAUCCCCAAGUUUUAUGGGGGGGAAUAUAAUAUUCAUCUUGUGUGCUGUUGGAAUCAGCUGGCCUAUAGUGAGGAGAGCUACGUUUCAGUUUGUCGAGUAUGAGGCUACAACCAGGCUAAGCUACACGGACACAGUGGGAUCGACUCUUCUUCUCCUCCCAAAAGUAAUUAUUACAUGACAGGAAUGACUGUGCUUAAAAAAAAAAAAAGUCCAGAUUUCAAACAAACAAGAGCGAACGAGGAACUGCAGCAAAGAGAAAUCCAAGAUCUCAGACAACAGCCUGCUCUUGUUUGCAAAAAUGUAGUUGAAGAGAGCUUGGGGAAUAAAAGAGGGCUGUCUAAAAAUGCACUAGUCCUAAAUAGUUCUCUCAGCUCCGUGUAUUCCCACACAAAUUUGCAUAAAUUUCAUAGUCUAAGUCAUGGGCUGUGGCUGAAGCGUGUUAUUAGUCUAUCUUUAGGUGGUAGUACAGGCCGAUCACACUGAGGCUUGUUGUUAUCUCAUUGAAAGCACCCUGGUAUUACACCCGGCGGAUUGAGAGUGGGUCUUAAGAUCGUGGGAUUUGUUCACAUAUUAAAGCAUGUCUGUUUGGAUGCACCGAAAAGAAACAGGUGUUCAGUAUUUAUGUGUGUGUGUGGGAGAGGACUUGUGUGUGCGUCUUUGUGUUUUUCCCUGCGAUGUUUGUUCGAAAACGCACAUAGGAUGGGAACACGCUGUUCGUGCGUGCGUGUGUGUGUGUGUGUGUGUAUGACUUGACAGAGGGGUGGGGGUGCUUUAUUGAAAAGUACUCCUCUCCUCCCCUGUUCAACAUGCUGGAUUAGCACCAGCAGUUUCCCAUGGAGCCGUCCCUCCCAGCCCCCUGCCCAUUUGCAUAAGGCGCAGACAGGCGGAGAUGUGACAAACAAACCUGGCACACACAGCGCUGGCUGCCUUCUUUACAUGAACUC